GCCGGCGUAGCUCAGCUGGUAGAGCAACUGAUUUGUAAUCAGUAGGUCGACGGUUCGAUUCCGCCCGCCGGCU
rnacentral:tRNA from 1 species